GAAGGUGGCGAGCGUUGUUCGGAUUCACUGGGGCAUAAAGGGGCGCGUAGGCGGAUCAGCAAGCGGCGUGUGAAAUCCCGGAGCUCAACUCCGGGAACUGCACGCCGAACUUCUGUUCUAGAGGACAGGAGGGGAGUGUGGAACUCUAGGUGUAGCGGUGAAAUGCGUAGAUAUCUAGAGGAACGCCGGUGGCGAAAGCGACACUCUGGCCUGUAUCUGACGCUGAGGCGCGAAAGCGUGGGUAGCAAACAGGAUUAGAUACCCUGGUAGUCCACGCCGUAAACGAUGAGCACUAGGUAGCCGGCGGAACCGACCGCUGGCUGCUGCAGGAAAUCCAUUAAGUGCUCCGCCUGGGGAGUACGGUCGCAAGGCUG
rnacentral:rRNA from 1 species